rnacentral:tRNA from 1 species
UUUUCGGUGACCGAGACUAGGUGAAAGAUUUUUAAUCUUUUAACAGAAUUUAUUUCUCCGAAGAG